CUACGGGCGGCAGCAGUGAGGAAUAUUGCACAAUGGGGGGAACCCUGAUGCAGCAACGCCGCGUGGAGGAUGACGCAUUUCGGUGUGUAAACUCCUUUUAUAUGUCAAGAAAAUGACGGUAGCAUAUGAAUAAGCACCGGCUAACUCCGUGCCAGCAGCCGCGGUAAUACGGAGGGUGCAAGCGUUACUCGGAAUCACUGGGCGUAAAGGACGCGUAGGCGGGUUGGAAAGUCAGGUGUGAAAUCCUACAGCUUAACUGUAGAACUGCACUUGAAACUUCUAAUCUAGAGUAUGGGAGGGGGAGAUGGAAUUAGUGGUGUAGGGGUAAAAUCCGUAGAUAUCACUAGGAAUACCUAAAGCGAAGGCGAUCUCCCGGAACAUUACUGACGCUAAGGCGCGAAAGCGUGGGGAGCAAACAGGAUUAGAUACCCCAGUAGUC
rnacentral:rRNA from 1 species